rnacentral:lncRNA from 1 species
AUGGACUUUGAAAAGCAUGGGGAAGGAAGCUUAUUAAAUGAGAAUUUAGAGGAGAAACUGACGGUCUCUUCUGGUGAUUCUGAAGCCAAACCUCUGAUCUUCACAUUUGUCCCCACUGUCAGAAGACUGCCAACCCACUCCCAGUUGGGUGCCACGUCUAAAUACAUUGUUAAAAUUCCUGAGGAACCAAGUGAGGAGACUCCAGAAACUGUAAAUAGGUUUGAUUCCAGUGAGUACUUGACCUUGAAUGUUGGGCACCAACAGGAGAGAGAACAAGGAGCCCUGACUUGUCCUUCAGAGGUUGAGGACAAGGCUUCCCAAGGAAAGGAAUUUAAAGAGAAGAAACCUCAAGGAAUGCAGCAAAGUGACCUCUUCAAAGCGGAAUAUGUCUUUAUCGUGGACUCUGAGGGGGAGGAGGAAGUCCCGGGCAGAAAAGGUGACCAGGGACCCCCGGUGGGGACAGGCCCCCCGGCUGCUCGGCCCUCGUCUCUCGCCAUUUCCUCCAGUCUGGCCUCCGAUGCGGUGCGCCCCAAAACGCGAGCGGCAGGCCUCCAGGCCCCGUCGCAUCCUGAACGGCCUCAGGCCAUGGCUCCCCCGCAAAGACACGGGCAGAAAACACCACCUGCCCCAGGCGAGCUCGCCGGCGCCUCUGUCCUGGAGGAGUUCCACUCGAGGAGGCUGGAUGCCCACGGGGCCCUGGUGGAAGAAACAACCACGUACUUUCAAACUUCCGCUCACUCUGCACCCUUUUUUGCACCGAAGGGCACGUCCUCGACGUCACAGGUCCCCCAACCCGCUCAGUUAUCAGGUUCUCCUUCAUCCAGUCCAAGCACAGCACAGCAAAACCUGGGGCAGACUUCUGAAGUCCUCAAGAAGACAGUCAACUCGAACGGCCUUAGUCCCAAAGAGAGUCCGAGAGCCUCUUCUUCACCAGCCUCCGGUGCUUCUCUGAAGCCGAGUGCAGCCUCCUACAUCCCCGUCCGCAUCGUCACGCACUCGCUCUCGCCGAGUCCCAGAGCUUUCCCCUCCCCUUUCCACGGCUCCUCUUCCACGGUCUGUAGCCAAGCGUCCUCCAGCGCGAGCCUCUCGAGGUCAGGGGUGAAACCCCCGGUGCCCUCCAGGCUUUCCGUCCUCACCGCCAUCCUGAAGUCCAGCCCUUCUCACCAAAGGCCCCUCUCCCCGGCCUCCUGUCCCACCUUCUCUCUCAACUCCCUGGCUUCCUCCACGCUCACGCUUGAUCAAAAAGUCAAACAAACCUCACCCACACCUAAGAAAUCCCUCUCAAGUUGCUCCCUGCGAUCAGGGUCUCCAGAACAAAGGGAAAACCCAGUUUCCGACCUCAGCCAGCCAUCCUUCCCCUUUCCUUCUCCCGCCAAAGCUACACCCCCUCCCCAGGCAUCGGCCCUUUCUACCCCCAAACAGGGCAGUAGCAGCUUCGCUUCUGUGAUUGUAGAGAAAAUGCCACCCCCAACUCUGAAGAGCAGCCCAGUGACUUCCCAGCUGCAAACCGGUACCUCCAGCUCUGUGGGUCUGCCUCCCGUCCCUCCAAGCUUUUCUCCCCUGUCUUCCAAAGGCAGACAGGAUGCUGACCCCAGAAGCCCGGGAAAGCCCAGGGAUAUCUGCUCGCAUGCUUAUACAUCACCUUCCUCCACAUCGUCUUCUGUGUCUCCUCCCACUAACCCAAGGGCCAGGCUCUCCUCACCAGAGAGACGCUACCAUCCGUCCCCAGCUCUUUCAAACCUGAUAAACCGAUCUAAGAGCGCGCAAGCACCAGUGUCUGGCCAAGGGCAGACUCUGUCUACUCCACCCCCAGCCCCCGUCUCCAGCUCCAGCUCUGCCUCUCUUCCCCAUCUCGGGUCCUCUGCUCUCCCCCUGGCUAAUCCUCCCACAAAAGCACACAGGCUCAGUCCCUCUGCCCUGCACCCAAAUCUUACCCUGCCUUCAAGACUUGGAAAAUCCGAAAGCUCUAUAUCUGACCACAGGUCAUCUGUCUCAGCUCUGUCACCUCCCUUCUCUCUCACAAGAACCAAGGAGCUGAGUUCACCCUGUGCAUUGCCCAUGUCAGCAGGCCCUGAGAAUAAGAAACCCAAGCAAUACAAGACCAAGUCCAGCUACAAGGCUUUUGCAGCAAUCCCAACAAACACAUUGCUUUUGGAACAGAAGGCACUAGACGAACCAGCCAAGACGGACAGCAUUUCCAAGGACAAGACCUUAGACCCACCUCUGGAGUUGUGUUCCCCUGCACAGCUCAGGCAGCAAACUGAAGAGCUCUGUGCUACCAUUGAUAAGGUCUUACAGGAUUCCUUGUCUAUGCAUUCUUCUGAUUCUCCUUCAAGUUCCCUGCAGACUUUGUUGGGUUCUGACACAAUCAAAAUGCCUACAACUCUUCCAAGAGCAGCUGGUCGAGAAACCAAAUAUGCAAACCUCUCCUCACCAUCUUCUACGGUAUCAGAGAGUCAGCUGACAAAGCCUGGAGUAAUUCGCCCCGUACCGGUAAAAUCCAAAAUAUUACUGAAAAAAGAGGAGGAAGUCUAUGAACCCAAUCCUUUCAGUAAAUACCUGGAGGAUAACAGUGACUUCUUUUCUGAGCAGGAUGUGCCUGUCCCUCCCAAGCCUGUUUCUCUCCAUCCUUUAUAUCAGACUAGACUCCAUCCUACUGCUAAGUCCCUACUGCGACCACAGACCCGCCCGCAUGCUGACUGUCUUACCCCCGGACCUUUCAGUCACUUGUCUUCCUUCUCCCUGAGUGAUGAACAGGAGAAUUCCCACACCUUGUUUAGUCACAACGCAUAUAAUAAGCUGAGUCAUCCAAUGAUGGCUAUUCCGGAACACGAAACCCUUGAUUCCAAAGAGGCAAAGUGGUAAAG